UAAGGGACUAUAACCAGAAAAGAGAGGA
rnacentral:piRNA from 1 species